CCCCUAGUAACUGCGAGUGAAGCGGGAAGAGCUCAAAUUUAAAAUCUGGCAGUCUUCUGGCUGUCCGAGUUGUAAUCUGGAGAAGCGUUUUCUGUGUUAGACCGUGUACAAGUCUCCUGGAACGGAGCGUCAUAGAGGGUGAGAAUCCCGUCCAUGACACGGACUACUAAUACUUUGUGAUACGCUCUCGAAGAGUCGAGUUGUUUGGGAAUGCAGCUCAAAAUGGGUGGUAAAUUCCAUCUAAAGCUAAAUACAAGCGAGAGACCGAUAGCGAACAAGUACCGUGAGGGAAAGAUGAAAAGCACUUUGGAAAGAGAGUUAAACAGUACGUGAAAUUGUUGAAAGGGAAACGCUUGAAGUCAGUCGCGUUGUGCAGAACUCAGCCUUGCCUCGGCUUGGUGUACUUUCUGUACAACGGGUCAACAUCAAUUUUGGCCCAUGGAGAAAAGUGGGGGGAAUGUAGCGCUGUUUCGGCAGCGUGUUAUAGCCCUCUAUUGUAUACAUGGGCUGGGAUUGAGGAUCGCAGCACGCCCUUGUGCCCGGGGGUUCGC
rnacentral:rRNA from 1 species